AUUUGUUCCACAGGAAGGGUGUUAGUUCACAACACAGCAUGCUUUGUUAUAUCUGCAUCAGCAAAGCAGAUAAUCUCAGCCUCUCUUCAUCUGGAAACGUGCAGAGGAAGAGCACUAGGAGAUAGUGUUGUAGUUAAGGAUUAUUGUGAAGUUCUCAGGGUACAAGACAACAGUCAGAUAUCAGCAUUGUCAGAGUCUCCCAUGAGGAACAAGGCCGGUGAACAAGGCAUUUCUUCCAGUCAUCCAAAAGAGGCCUCAUGAUCUGCUGCUUCUUUUUUAUCACACAGUCUGUAGCAGACACCCACACCAAUGUCACCCACGGUGGUCUGCCAGCGAGCCCAGACCCAUACGCUCUCAUCUGGGUCAUGGCAGAGCUCCAUGCAUCUCUGCUUCUCUCUAAUACAGGACAAAUGACCCUCCUCGUCAUCGCAGCCCGUCCUUCCCAAAGAUCCUGUACAAAGCCACUGCAGCACUCUAGUCGUAUGAGUGUGAUUUGCCCAUUACCUUGAGAUUUCUAAAAAUCCAGGCUUCAUCCACUGAAGAAUUCAAAGAGCGAAGUAGAGGGUGCAGGUGCUGCCAUUUGAUGUCACACUGGGAAGCAGCGCAAGAGCCCUUACCAAAGCACAGACUAAGGCUGGGCAGCAGCAAGCAAAAGCAUCACUGGGGUAAUUCAGCAUCGCUUCAUGCAUCUGACGCUGAAGAACAAUGUGGAGUGAGAGUGCUUCGUCUGUCUUCAUGUCCUGCCACCCUAAUGCAAGCACUAAGAGUGCACGUGUGAAUUCUCAGAUAGCGUAGAAAUGUAUCUUUACCUACUAACGGUGGCCUGUGAGAAGUUCUUGAAGUGUCUGUGGAAUACUGGAGUCCCCAGAGAGGAUUUGUUCUCCUUUUGUCUUCUGAUUUCCAGCACUGCAGAUCAGCUUGUAGGAAUCCCACCCGGAAGACUGCAAUGACUAAACUGUAAGAGUUGAACUUAUUUUUCUACCCACAUUAUGCAGCUGACAAAUCUGCAUUUUAUGAAUACAAAAACCCAUAAAGUAAAGAAUGAGUGUUCAAUCUUGAUUUUAUUUUCUGUGACUAUGUUUCACUGUGAAUUUAGGAUUUAAAUGUUAUGUUUGAAUCCAGGCAAACACAGAUAUUUUAUUAUUACAGAAAUUAUUUUCCUAUACCUUGAUCUACUUACUAGUCCCAGAAAGACUUUUUAUCUGAAAGGUAUUUAUUUUUAAGUGAAAUUGUAUUCAUUUAGUAUAGAAAGACUCAUAAUAAAUGUUUUGUUUAUGAAUCUGAAAGCAUGUCACUUUCUAGGAACACUUUCAGAUGGUAAAACAUCUCAAAUAUCCAGCUAUCACAAAUUCUUGAUCUAUCUGGUAGUUCUCAUUGUUAUUUCUUGUCCUUUCCUCUCUACUUCUGGCUAGAAAACACCUCUUCUUCCUUGAAUAUCUCUCCAAGCAUGGCACUAUUCCUCAUCUCAUCUACUGUGAACAUGGCAAUGGCACAAAAAGUGUAGCAUGGCUGGGAGCGCCUUGCAGCACCAUUAAUGAUUCUUUUAUCUCAAGAUUCCCAUUUCCUAAUUUUGUUCCCCCAUUUCCUGCACCCAUAUUGUGACAACAAGCUUCAAAGAAAACUCGAGGCUACAGAUUUGUCUCUCCCUGAUACUUACAUGAAGAUCUGAGGAUAAGAGGAACUUCUCUAAGAGAACAGACAGGAAAUUCUGUACUAACAGAAGUGGGUGAACAGUGUAACUCUCCUGGUAAAGCUCAGAUAGGACUCAUUAUGCAGACAGUACAAACUAUUACAGGAAAAAAAGAAAAAAAAAAGCUCUUAUAUCAUUCAGCUCUGCCUGAGCCAAAACAAGAAGUGCAUCACUGAAGCUGUGUAUUAUGCAUGAGGUAUAAAAAACUGUUGAAAAUUGUUUUGUUUUUUUUAAUGAUGAAAAGAGAACUAGCAUAGGAGUGAGAUGUGAUUUUAAAUUCUUAGCCUAAUAUCAUUGCUAAUUUUAAUUGCUAUUAGAAGAACCUUGUUUUCCUCUAAGGCAUUACGUAAAGAAUCAUUCCAGCCCAAAUAUGCAUUGGAAAUGUUCGAGAGCCAUUAGAAAACAAACAAUGAACAUGAAAACAGCAGCAGUAAACUAGCAAAUAUCCCUGGCUAUGAAGCCAAGAUGUGGCUGUUCAGCUAUCAAGCAGGCGUUAACAGAUGAUAGAUGAGUAAUUAUUCAACAAAGUUGGAUGAAAAACACCUAAAAGCAUCCAAAAAAUCAUGCAAAAUAACAUCUGAAAUUUGAUGAACGAGAAAAAUUACACAUAGCAUAACAGCAUAAUUUCUGUGUAAUAUUC